AUGUCAGAAUGCCGGGAAGAUAUAUUUCCUCUGGUAUCUGUAAGGAAAUUAGUUCGUGAGAUUUCUGAUCACAAUCCACUUUUGUUGUCCUCUGGGGAAGAAGGGCGCGAAGCCCCGAAACCUUGUGAAUUUCAUUUCAACCUAUCCUGGAUUAAAGACGAAAAGUUUCUGCCUACUGUGAGUAGGAUUUUGGCGAGGAAGGUUACAUCAUCUGAUCCCAUUGAUAUACUGAAUAUCAAGCUGAAGAGAUUUAAAUCAUACUUUAAAGGAUGGGGCUCUGAUAAGUAUGGUCAUGAUAAGAAAAGGAAAGAGGACCUACGUAUGGAACUUGCCAUGCUUGAGGAAAUGGAAGAAGAAGAUAUGUUGCCUCCUGACUUGUAUAGUAGAAAGAUGGAUAUCAACGCCGAGCUUUACGAGCUCCUGGUUAACGAGGAAAUGUUUUGGCUUCAACAGUCCCAUGAGCGCUGGCUGCUCAAAGGGGACCUGAAUACUGACUAUUAUCACAAAAUUGCCAAUGGGAGGAAACGGAAAAAUACUAUACAAUCACUUAAAGUAGGGGAGGCCUUGAUUGAAGGCACGGACAACCUGGUUGCCCAUGCCACUGAGUUCUACAAAGAGCUGUUUGGGCCAGCUCCUGGUAACCAGAUCCAUCUGGAUCCGGAAAUCUGGUCUCCUGAGGAGAAACUGGAUGAC
rnacentral:rRNA from 1 species